CAGCGCCACAAGUGGGGACCAGUAUUAUUGGGCCUAAAGCGUCCGUAGCCGGAUAAAUAAAUCCUUUGUGAAAUUGUUGGGCUUAACCUAACAGCGUGCAGAGGACACUGUUUGUCUCGAGACCGGGAGGAGUCAGAGGUAUGCUGGGGGAAGCGGUAAAAUGCUGUAAUCCUCGGUGGACCACCUGUGGCGAAGGCGUCUGACUAGAACGGGUCUGACGGUGAGGGACGAAAGCUGGGGGAGCGAUCCGGAUUAGAUACCCGAGUAGUCC
rnacentral:rRNA from 1 species